AAAAGAAUGGCACAGACAAGUGACUCUUUGAUAUUUUUUUAAACAAACAUUUUGUUUGUUAAUGACUGGGGAUAUGAGAGAUUAAACUUUGACUCAUCUGACGUUAGCUCUGUUUUCAUAUUCACCCUACGGAAGAGGAAAUUUCAAGGUGGAUUUUCACUUGAAGCCUAACCUUAGGGAGGGGCCUUUAAGAAACAUCCAGAGUUACAUUUUGUAUAGCACCACUGAAUGCGUGAGAUAUUUCUGGGCAUAUCUUUAGGAGAGCUAGGGGUCAGGAGCUGGAUAUAGGAAUAAAAAAUAGUGAAGUGGUGGAUUCAGGCAGAGACAGAUGCCUGUAUCUAAGUCUGAAUAAAGCAGGUUUCAAGGGUGCAUAUGAAAUACAAUCAAGGUAUUGACCACAGCAGGGACACAGAAUGGCUCUCUAACAGCCCCCCCAACCCCCUGCCCGCCAUCAUGGGCCUUCAGCUCGCUUGUCAGGUACGUCUCUUAAUAACUGGGCAAGUCCUAUGGAAUGUUUGCUGCCAGAACCAGACCGGAAAGUUGAGCAACCUUUUAAUUGCUGUUUUCCAGCCUGUAGAGCAGAGGGGUUUAGCACCCUGGGUGUAAAGUCCUUCCUCCUUUUGAAAACCUCAAAACCAACAGAUACUUCCUCUCUUAAUCUCUGAUGGGGUGAGUGAGGAGGCUGAGACUUUCGUUAUGUAAUUAAUGUGUGUGGCCCUCGAGGUCAGGAUCCUCCUGCUCAGAAUACAGGGCCUGCCUACAAGACCUGUGCACUCCAGUCUCCUGCCUGGCUCUGUGAGCCUGGGGGUCAGAGCAGGAGUUCCUGUCUUUUCUGUCUGCUUUAGAUAUUUUCUGGUUGUUUUAGUGACAGACACUUGACAUGUUUUAAAAAAUGCCGAUAAAUGUAGUGAGGUGUCUGUCUACCUGGGUUCCACUAACUGGCUGGUGGGUGGAUAUUUUCAUGGCUGGAAUCCUGUCCCUGGAAAACACAGGAAGAAAUAAAGUAGCAUGUGUGGUAUAAGCAGCUGUGUUUAUAAUCAGUUGGCACCACAUGGUGGUCCUGAGUGGUGUGAGUCCUCUGGGCCCCUCAGCCAGGUGAGGGAACGUUAGAGCUGGAAACAUCGCAGCUAUAGGAAGCAUCUGCUGCUGCAGGAAGCCUCACAAUAAGCAUUUAUUGAUGUCCUGCUGUAUACGAGGCAUCCUGCUGGCUGCGGAGGGGACAUGAACUGAGUUGCCUGCAGGGUACUUGUUUCUUGAGUCAGUGAUCGAGCAUGACAUUUGCAGGAAGGCCGUCCAUUUGCUUUCAGUGUCUGUGUUUAAGGUCAAUUUGUUUAAUAAAACUCCGGGCAGUGAACAAUCAGGGUUGUCGCUGGCUUUCUACUUGUGAAUGUACAGCAAUGUUGCAGGAGCUGUUGAACUUGCUUUGUGACCGGCAAACCCUAAGUGAGCCCUCCUGAGCUAUUGUUCAUAGAUAACUUUAUAGCAGAGUUGAUUUGUCAUAUAAAUAAGAAUCACAAUUGAGUUUACUGUAAUUAAACAUAAAUGAUAAGUAAGUGCUCACAUUUAUGCAUUCAGCAAACAUUUACUAGUGGCCUCUGGUGCCAGGCAGUGUCCUGUGCACUCUCCCCUGCUCUGUAGAGGGAUGGUGACACCAGUGCUGUGCAUGGGGUAGAGGGGUGGUAACACCCCUGCGGUGCUGUGCAGGGUGUUGUAGUGGCAGGUACCCGGGCUGGUGCGGCAGAGGUGAGCAGACACUGAAAUCUGCUGUGUGUGGUCCUGGAGGGCUUUGGAGUGGGCUUGAGCUGAGUGUCAGGGGGACGUAUGGACAAGGUGAUUCUGGUAAUUCAGUUCUGCAAUAUUACCACUGCCUACCUGAAACCCCCAGUUCCCUCUGCGGUACCCUGUGCUCCCCUUCCUUGCUCCUGGUGGGUAAGGGCUAGAGAUAGCCCCUGGCAGCUACGCUUGUCUGCCUCAUCUAGUUCUUGGGUCCUGUUUGUGUACCUGUGCGGCAGACUCCCUCUCUUCCUCAUGUACCUGGUGGGGUCUCUGGAUCCCUUGUGCCCAGGGUGUUUGUCAUAACAUGGAAAGCCAGAGGGGCUGACAUCUCAGGACAUGAGACUGUAGAGAAAUGGGACAGAUGACCUUUCUACACUUGGGGAGAAGAGAACCUGUCCAGGAUUGCUGGGGCAGGGGCAGGGGGGCCUGGAGGGAGGUCCCACAGAGGUCUGUAGACCACAGAGUGAUGUGUGUAAGCCCCCGCCAAGGCCGCACACCCCAGGCACCUGUAACUGAGGGUGGGUUGUCCUCAGGCCAGCUCUAAGGGAAAACAAAGACAGGCUGAUUUCCUCCCCAGGUUCUUCCUUUUGCCUCGAAGUCCUGUUGAGGUGACAGUAGGAAGUUUAAAAGAAUUAGGGAAGGGUGCAACCAAGAGAAGCAGUAGUAACCACAGACUUCAUUGGAUGGCUCUUGGAAGGGAUUGUAAAAAACUAGCCAGAGGCUUACAGAAAAGGGGCUGCUAUUCAGAGGGAGAGGAGGCCUGGAGACAGCUCAGGUGUCUAGGUGACCUUGCUCAGCUACAGAGAGCUCCCAGGGGCCUCUCAGCGUAGAGCCUUAGAAUUCUAAGACCUUUUCAGGAUCAGGUGAAGUUCAUGAGAUACGUAAAGCGGGCUAAAUGGCUAAAAAUCUGCUUGCUUGUGUUAUUUAAUUUUUUUUUUAAAUUUAAUUUGUGUUAUUUAAUUGGACGUGUAAAAAUUUGAGUUUUGUGCCUGUGGGCUUUUGAGCUAACUGGUCUCAGCCUGCAGUGAAGAAAUAACCUACCUAGGGGUCAGUGUAUGGAGGCCAUCUUUGGACCAUUUAUAUAACAGUGACAGAGUUUUCUGUUCCACGGUUGAAAGUAAAGUGUCUAAAAAUGUAAGCGCUUGGGGAGUAGUAACUCAUUGGUGUUAAUAUAUUUCAGUCAAAGUUUAAAAAUACCUCCAGAUUCCUUCCUCAUUUGACAGGGUAUCUAGAAGUCUGGGAAACAUCACUGCCCGGCAGGGCUGAGGGCGUGGGUAACCGCUGGGCAGCAGGAGGCUGGGCAGUGUGCAGCACUACACAUGUUUUGGAUGGAAGCCAUGGCGAUCCAGGAGAAAGACAACAUUCAUUGGAGUCUGGAACACAAACUGCUUCUCCACCGUAUCUUGCUGCGUGAUCUCGAGUAGGUUUGCUUUUGGUGCAUCCUUGCAUGUUUGUAGAACGGAGAGAGCACUGGCAGUUUGUUAGAGUGAUGGACUGUGCGCCAUCUUCUUGGAAACCUCUGCGCCAUGAGAGCCAAGUGGAGGAAGUGGCGAAGGCAUAGGCUGAAGUGUAAAAGAAGGAAGAUGGGACCAAGGUCCAAG